rnacentral:lncRNA from 10 species
GUGGAACCUGGGAUUCGAUUGGCCUGGCGGGAAGCACUUUAGCAGAGGAACUCUGGCUUUCGAAGAGUAUGUGUUUCCCCCCUUUUUUGCCUCUUUUCACCCAUUAAAACCCUGCUUUACUCGCCCUUUAAACCAUCUGCGAGUCUAAAUUUUCAUGGCCGUGGGACGGACAAGAACCUCGUCUUUAGCUGAACUACAGAAAAGUCCUGAAACAUUUUUGGCACGCAACUUGGGGGCUGGAGAAGUGGUUAUUUAGGGUAAAAACAAGAGACUACUUAUAUUAUGGAUUCCAAUACUGAGAAAUGGAAGAUAAUGAAGGCAAGGAAAGAAUCAAUGAUUAUCAGGGCUGCCAGCUGACAGCAUCCAUGUCACCUGUCAGGGUCCCCAGGUUCCAGGCCCCAGGCCAUGGACAGGCUGCAUAGCAGGAGAUGAGACUGUCUAGUUGCAGCAGAAUAAGCUCAGGGCUCUCACAGAUUCUACAUUACGUCAAGGUUCCUAUUCCACGUAUCUGAGGAGAGACUGAAAGCCUAGUGUGCAGGUGGGAGUUUCCAACAGAACAGAAACCUGAUUUCACCUGGAUACUUAUUUGGUAUUUUACUUGAAUUUUAUUGUUCAAGUUCAAGUGAAUGUUAAUGACUCCCUUGCACAUGUGUUAAGGACUGCCUC